AUUGAACGCUAGCGGGAUGCCUUACACAUGCAAGUCGAACGGCUUGGCGAACGGGUGAGUAAUGUAUCUGACCGUGCCCAGGAGCGGUGGAUAACUACGCGAAAGCGUAGCUAUUACCGCAUCCUAUUGGAGCGGCCGGUAUGGGAUUAGCUAGUGGGUGGGGUAACGGCUCACCAAGGCGACGAUCCGUAGCUGGUUUGAGAGGACGACCAGCCACACUGGGACUGAGACACGGCCCAGACUCCUACGGGAGGCAGCAGUGGGGAAUUUUGGACAAUGGGCGAAACCCUGAUGCAGCCAUGCCGCGUGUGUGAAGAAGGCCUUCGGGUUGUAAAGCACUUUUGGCAGGGAAGCGGUACCUGCAGAAGAAGCACCGGCUAACUACGUGCCAGCAGCCGCGGUAAUAC
rnacentral:rRNA from 1 species